CGCGGUGGAGACGUAGCGGGUCGGGUCGUCUCCGAACCCGGCGAGCACCCGGGCGGCGAGGACCGGUCCCAGGCCUGGCUGG
rnacentral:sRNA from 1 species